rnacentral:rRNA from 1 species
CAUAGCGACUAUCGUGGCAUAUCAAUAAGCGGAGGAAAAGAAACUAACAGGGAUUCCCUUAGUAACGGCGAGUGAAGCGGGAAGAGCUCAAAUUUGAAAUCUUCAAGGUUCUACCUUGGCGAAUUGUAGUUUAUAGAAGUGUUUUCUGUUAGUAGAGUGGCAAAAGUUCUUUGGAAUAGGACAUCAUAGAGGGUGAGAAUCCCGUAUUUGACCAUUAUUUCCAGCUUUGUGAUACACUUUCAAAGAGUCGGAUUGUUUGGGAAUGCAGUCCAAAAUGGGUGGUAAAUUUCAUCUAAAGCUAAAUAUUGGCGAGAGACCGAUAGCGAACAAGUACCGUGAGGGAAAGAUGAAAAGAACUUUGAAAAGAGAGUUAAACAGUACGUGAAAUUGUCAAAAGGGAAGCGUUUGACACCAGUGUUGUUUUUCCGAAAAUCAAUUACGAAUGUUUUAUUUUUGAGAAGUUAUGACUUCAUCGGCUUGCUUCUCUCUUUAUGAAACUUUCUUAAUGCACUUUUCGGUUAACAAGUCAACAUCAAUUUCUUUUGUUGUAAAAGAGUCAUUGGAAGGUGGCUUUCAUUUCGGUGAAAGUGUUUAUAGCCUUUGACUUCUGCAAUCGGAGAGAUUGAGGUCUGCAGCGUAGAUCCUUCGGGGUUAGAUGCAUUUGUGCUAAGUUAUAGCCUUUUCAUAGACAACUUGUUGACUAUGCUCAGUCAUGUACUUACUCGCAGUAUGCUAUUUUACCUACGCUUAGGAUGUUGAAGAUAUGCGCGACACG